rnacentral:tRNA from 1 species
GGGCACAUGGUGUAGUUGGUUAUCACAUCCGCUUAGCAUUUAGUGCAUUGCGGGGGGUGCUGGGUUCAAUUCCCAGUGUGUCCA